GCAAACUUGGUCAUUUAGAGGAAGUAAAAGUCGUAACAAGGUUUCCGUAGGUGAACCUGCGGAAGGAUCAUUAGAGGAAAAAAUGUGUCCAAAGACCAAACCUCUCAACCGUGUCUACAUUACCUAUUGUUGCUUCCCAGAAGUAAUUCUGGGGGAUUUCCACUUAAUGGGAAGGUGCGACCCAAGACGCAAGUUUUGGCAGUUGCGACCGAGUACCAACUUGGAAUUCAAAAUUCUGUUAAAAAUUGAAGUCUAAAUGAAUAAUUAUAAUAAUAAUUAAAACUUUCAACAACGGAUCUCUUGGUUCUGGCAUCGAUGAAGAACGCAGC
rnacentral:misc_RNA from 1 species